AUUGAACGCUGGCGGCAUGCCUUACACAUGCAAGUCGAACGGUAACAGGUCUUCGGAUGCUGACGAGUGGCGAACGGGUGAGUAAUACAUCGGAACGUGCCUAGUAGUGGGGGAUAACUACUCGAAAGAGUGGCUAAUACCGCAUGAGAUCUACGGAUGAAAGCAGGGGAUCGCAAGACCUUGUGCUACUAGAGCGGCCGAUGGCAGAUUAGGUAGUUGGUGGGAUAAAAGCUUACCAAGCCGACGAUCUGUAGCUGGUCUGAGAGGACGAUCAGCCACACUGGGACUGAGACACGGACCAGACUCCUACGGGAGGCAGCAGUGGGGAAUUUUGGACAAUGGGCGCAAGCCUGAUCCAGCAAUGCCGCGUGCAGGAUGAAGGCCUUCGGGUUGUAAACUGCUUUUGUACGGAACGAAAAGCCCUGGAUUAAUACCCUGGGGUCAUGACGGUACCGUAAGAAUAAGCACCGGCUAACUACGUGCCAGCAGCCGCCGUAA
rnacentral:rRNA from 1 species